AGGAAAGGGGCCAGCUUCUGUGACGACUGCUGCAGAGGCAGGUGCAGUUUGUGUGCCAUAGAUAUUAACUUCGAUAAGCACUUAAUGAGUGCCUUCUCUGUGCAAGAAUGGGGAGGAACAAAAUGCAGCUCCUACCCUCCUGGGGCUUUAGUUGUACCAUAAUAACAGGAAUUUUCAUCUGCUUGGCUCCUUUCCUCAAAGAACAAAGAAGACUUUGCUUCAUUAAAGUGUCUGAGAAGGAAGGUUUGAACAGGAUCCCUCUGGCUGGUGUGUGAAGAAUUAACUGUAGAUGGGCAAGUGUGGAAGGAGGGAGAGCAGUCAGGAAGCUGCCACAACCAUCUACGUGAGAGAGAAUCGUGUAACAGACUCUACUCAAUAUUGAUCUUAACUGAUCCAGUUCUCCAGUCUCCCUGGAAAACAAUGGAUUGAUGCCCAGGGUACGCUGAACACUGGAACCAUAGUCACUUCUGCACUUCACACGAUUCUGCUCCCACCAGUUGAGCUACCAACAGUUCCUGGUGCUUUUGCUUCCCAAACAUAUUUAUGCCAUUUGUUGCUUAUUACUGUACUUACUUAAUUUGAUUAAAUAUUAAGUAAAAUGA
rnacentral:sRNA from 1 species